UACAGAGGGUGCGAGCGUUGUUCGGAAUUACUGGGCGUAAAGCGCGUGCAGGCGGCCUUUUAAGUCUGACGGUGAAAUGCCGGGGCUCAACCCCGUGCCCGCCGGAGAUACUGGGAGGCUGGAGACGAGUAGAGGCAAGCGGAAUUCCGGGUGUAGCGGUGGAAUGCGUAGAGAUCCGGAAGAACACCGGAGGCGAAGGCGGCUUGCUGGGCUCGGUCUGACGCUGAGGCGCGAAAGCGUGGGGAGCGAACAGG
rnacentral:rRNA from 1 species